rnacentral:rRNA from 1 species
ACUCCUACGGGAGGCAGCAGUGGGGAAUCUUGGACAAUGGGGCAACCCGUGAUCCAGCCAUGCCGCGUGAGUGAUGAAGGCCCUAGGGUCGUAAAGCUCUUUCGCCUGUGAAGAUAAUGACUGUAGCAGGUAAAGAAACCCCGGCUAACUCCGUUGCCAGCAGCCGCGGUAAUACGGAGGGGUUAGCGUUGUUCGGAAUUACUGGGCGUAAAGCGCGCGUAGGCGGACUGGAAAGUUGGGGUGAAAUCCCAGGGCUCAAGCCCUGGAACUGCCUCCAAAACUAAUCAGUCUAGAGUUCGAGAGAGGUGAGUGGAAUUCCGAGUGUAGAGGUGAAAUUCGUAGAUAUUCGGAGGAACACCAGUGGCGAAGGCGGCUCACUGGCUCGAUACUGACGCUGAGGUGC